rnacentral:sRNA from 1 species
ACUGGGUGUGGUGUUGCACACCUGUAAUCCCAGCGGCUCAGGAGACUGAGGCAGGAGGAUUGAUUGAGAGUUCAAAGCCAACCUCAGCAAAAGUGAGGUGCAAAGCAACUCAGUGAGACCCUGUCUUUA